rnacentral:lncRNA from 1 species
CACCGCCUCGGCAGAAAGAAAAACCAGGAUCCCGUGUGCGCCGGGGUCGCAGGGCUCGCCCUUGGCUCGGGCUAAUGACAGCAGGCGGUUGCCAAGCGUGGCCCUGCGGAGCCUGGCUGAGCCCCGGGUUCCCAGGGCGGGUCGGAGUGGCAUCUGACCUGGGGCGUGACCGGGAACCCGGGAUGGCGGUCUCAGGAGCUGCUCCGGAUUUCUAUGUGUACUUCUGGCUGUCCUGGAACUCACAGAGAUCCGCUUGCCUCUGUCUUCUGAGUGCUGGGAGUAAAGAGCUGCACCACCACACCUAGCAUCGGUUCCUUUUUUUAAAAAACACAUUGCUGAAGGAUAUUUUAAGUCUGAUUUUUAUUUUCUGCAAGGAGAAAUGUUAUGGACAACUGAAAUGAUAUUUUAUUUUUUACAUUCCAACCUCUAAUGAACACGACUCAUCUCAGCCCUGUCACAUCAGCUCCUUUGAUCCUGGAGUACAAAAGCUAGAGCCUAUAAAAAGAAAAUUCAAGAAAAAAAAAAACCACAAAACAAAAUAGAGGCCUCUUAAUAGAUACACUUUUUAACUCUGAAAUAGUGCUGAUUCACUUUUCUGUAGAAAAGAAUCUGCGUCUAGAUUAGGGAUCAAAAGUUUCAAGGGCUUUUGGGACUAUUUUGAUUAGUAGAAUCUUGGCAGUAAAAUGAUUCUACUGGAAUAUUUAGACCAAAGACUGCAUUCACCUUUGGGGAAGGAUUUUGGCGUGAAGGGAUGUGUGUGUGUGUGUUUAAGGAAAACAAAUUUCUGUUUUGCUUUUAAGAAAAGGAAAGCACUCUAAACUUGCCUGGUUGAGAAGGGUGAUUGUAGUGGACCUUAAAAUGGUCUCUUCCCAGAUAAGACAUUACAGAACAGAAAAGCCCUAGGUAGAAAUCUGGAAGAAUGUCUACUUCUGUUUGGAGAGGAGGAAAGCCCCUGGGCGGAGAAGAGAGCUUUAGGGGUUAAUAAUAUCUCUUGAGAUGGGUUGAAGGGGGGGGGGCACUACUGGUCUGUUGAGUAUUUAAAUUAACUCCAUUUUAAGGUUUUCUCAAGAGUUACAAAGACCAAACAUAAGGCAAAGGUCGGGGAUUAGCUAAGUUGUAUGUUGCCUGGGCUUCUCUUUGAUAUCAUGUGAAUUCCAGAAGCAAGGAUACAGGAGAAACUUUGUUUCAAAUAAGACAACGUUUAGAAGGCCAAGGGAUCAAGAUCAGUUAUCUUUUGGGAUGACUUCUAUCUAGCAAUGAGUCUUGGAGAAGAUACCCAAGGACUCUAGGAAAAUAAUGUUCUUGAGAAACAGAAGGCUGAAUGCUUAUACAAUGACCAGAUUCCCUCCCGGCAUAGGGAUCCAUGGGCGUAUUCUAAUCCUAAGGAAAGCCAGCAGAUUGUGUAUAAAUUGUAUAGCUGAGUCUAGGGAAAAUGUAGAGGUUAAGGACAGCCAAGACAGUCUUGAGCAACAGUUCUCAACCUGAGGAUUGCAACCCCUGGGGAAUCACUGAACAAACCCUUUCACAGGAGUUGCCUAAGACCUUCAAAAAAUACAUUUACAUUACAACUCAUAACAGUAGCAAAAUUACAGUUAGAAAGUAGCAGAGGAGCUGGGUGGUGGCACAGGCCUUUAAUCCCAGCAGCACUCAGGAGGCAGAGGCAGGCAGAUUUCUGAGUUCGCAGAACAUUUUGAUGGGAGUGACAGAGGAAGCUGCUCCCUUAUCAUGGCUAUGAAACAAAAGAGAGCAAGAAAGAGACAGGAUUACCAGUAUCUCCUUCAGGCACAGCCUUAGAAAUCCCUUCCCUUCUAUGAGUACCUGGGGUACUAACCCACUCUGGAACAUCCAAUCCCAGCAGGAUGAAGCACGUCCUCUCCCACUGAAGCUCAGUCCUGUGGUAAACACCAAAUACGAUUCAUCAGCUCCAGACCAGUCCUCUAGGCAGGCAGACACCAGGGACGAACCAGCAGCUACAGUCCAGUUCUUUCAGCAAGCAGACACCGGGCAUGAACCAGCAGAUGUAGUUCAAUCCUGAAGAAACCACUAGACUCAUCAGAUGUCCCAAAGCAAGGCCCCAGAAGUCACAUGCUGCUGCAGGAACCACGCAAGAAGUUUUUGGGUAGAAAUGGAGAUUAGCCACUGUCGUGAAAGGAUAAACCGCAAAAGGACUCUAUCUGUCCUAUGCGUGUGCACUUGGCUCGAGUGCAGGCCCAUUGAAGAAUUUGGCUAUGCACACUGAGCCCUGCACUGGCCUCUGCAUCCCUCCAAGCCUCCCAACAGCGAUUUUACUUUUCUUUUAAGUGUGUGUGUGUGUGUGUGUGUGUGUGUGUGUGUGUGUGUGAGAGAGAGAGAGAGAGAGAGAGAGAGAGAGAGAGAGAGAGUGAGAGUGCAUGUGUGUGUGUCCACAGAGGCCAGAAGAGGGUAUCAAAGCCCUUGGGGCUUGAGUUGUAGGCACCUGUGAUCCACUCAGCAUGGGUGCUUCGAACAGUACCCUGGUCCUUCAUAAGAACUUAACUGUUAACUUAAACUUUCAACUGUUGAGCAGUCUCCAGAGACCUGCUCACUGUGUUUUAAGGUGAGCACUUAAAACAUUUUCACUUUCUUUCCCUCACCAAGGAAUGUUUCAGAUCUUUCUCUUGGCUCCAACUUCAGUGCUCACCCAACCUUAAUCUUUAUAGGUGAUUUUCAUACCCCAUUCCACUCUUCCCCCUUACCUCCCACCAAAAGGCCACACAACUAAACACUGCCACCAGAAUGACUUCUCUUCCCACUCAGAGAUCAUCUGUGAGGUAAAGUGUCCACUCUCUCUGCCAGGACAUACUUUCCCAUGGUUCAUUUCUGUGACCCUGGCCUCUGUACUGUUGUCACUGGGUACAGUGCCCUUCAGGAAGACCUGGGGCUGACUGUCUCUUCAGGAUGUGUAGUUAGAUUGGAGAUAUAUAAGUCUCUCCCAGCAGGCUGCCGCAGUUUAAUGUGUGGUACAGAAAAGGCCAAGCCCUCUGGGCUGAGUGGGGCUUAGAGCUCGCUUGUGACCUUUUUCUUUGCCAGAGGCAUUUUUUUUUGCAGUCCUAAGAGCUCACCUCUCUGCAGGUCAGCAUGAUACCAACAUUGACUGUGAGAUCAUCCCCAGAGGGCAUGUGUAAGAGGUAAAACUGAAUGUUCUCAAAGGUGCUUUGAGCCAACUUAGUUCCAGCUUCAAAAAAUAGGAAACACCAAGCCUCUGCCAGUGCCUUCUCUAGUUAUUCCCCACCCAAACUAGAAGUCGGGAGCAGAAACUUACAGCCAAGCUUUCUUGCAUCUGAUGAGGAUGUAAAAAUGAAAGCAUAUCGUUUUUCUUGGGAAAAAGACAAACAGAAGGGUCAGAGGGAGAGGUAAGAUCGAGAUGGUGUGUAAGAUGUCUGUCCUGACUACUAGGAGAGGGAGAAAGGGCCUACAUUGGAGUUAUAAAUUCUGCACUUGGCACACUUGACAUUACAGGCUGAUGCCCAACUUGGCAAAGGCAUCAACCGCUCUGUCCCUGGGGGUCUUAUUAUGAAGUGAGGAUCACCAUUUCUCACACUUGUAUGGUAGGAGUGGAUUCAGCCCAGCUCUGUUCUUCUGGGCUUCAGAGGAUCUUCAUCCAGUGACAUUGAUUCCUGUCACCAAAAGAGGCAGCCAACUCCGUCUGAUGUGCUCAGUGAAGCACUCUGUGGGCUUCCCUCACGUCCCCAUCACACUUUCUCUCAUUUCUAUAACUGUUGAAUGUACCUAAAAAGCGAACUUUCUAACUCCAAUCCUUGACCCAGACCACUUCUCCUUUGUUCCUUUCCCGACUGAGUCUCACUGGGCGCAUUGACCACAGAGGCUAAGCCUCAUGCCCAGUAGUAGGUAGUCAACAGAAAACGAACUUGAUGAUAUUUUUGGAGAUAUUUUUAUCUCAAAUUGCUUUGUUCAGCCAUCUUUUGUCUUAUUAGUCCUUUGCUUGUAUUUUUUGGUUUCUGUGUGUGUGUGUGUUUCUAUUUUUUGUUUCGUUGUUUUGUUUUUUUAAGGGGGGUGGUAGGUAAAGAGGUGGAGAUGACCUGGGAGGAUUUUUGGGAGGGGAGAAUUGUCAUCAGACUAUAUUCUAAGAAACACACAGGUAGAUGGAAUGAGAGGGUGGAUCUGAAAAGAGUUGAGGGAAGUGACCGAGAACAACCAAAACACUAUACAAAUUUUCCAAGAAUUAUAAAUAAAGAAUUUA